rnacentral:rRNA from 1 species
CCUACGGGAGGCAGCAGUGAGGAAUAUUGGUCAAUGGACGAGAGUCUGAACCAGCCAAGUAGCGUGAAGGAUGACUGCCCUAUGGGUUGUAAACUUCUUUUAUAUGGGAAUAAAAUGUUCCACGUGUGGGAUUUUGUAUGUACCAUAUGAAUAAGGAUCGGCUAACUCCGUGCCAGCAGCCGCGGUAAUACGGAGGAUCCGAGCGUUAUCCGGAUUUAUUGGGUUUAAAGGGAGCGUAGGUGGAUUGUUAAGUCAGUUGUGAAAGUUUGCGGCUCAACCGUAAAAUUGCAGUUGAAACUGGCAGUCUUGAGUACAGUAGAGGUGGGCGGAAUUCGUGGUGUAGCGGUGAAAUGCUUAGAUAUCACGAAGAACUGCGAUUGCGAAGGCAGUUCACUGGACUGCAACUGACACUGAGGCUCGAAAGUGUGGGUAUCAAACAGGAUUAGAUACCCGUGUAGUC